rnacentral:lncRNA from 1 species
GUAUGUUUUGUGAUUACAGUUACUGCUGUGGAUUCUGGUAGUAAGGCUUUGAGGUUUCUCGGUUUGGUUGAAGAUGAAAAGAGAACUGAAGAGCCUCCCACCAUUGCUUUAGAAGCCAAUCAGGUUCAGUUUUACUGCAAAAAAUUUAAAAAAGAUGACACAUAGUUAGAAUGAUUUAUGAGAUCUAAUUAAUCCCUUUUGCUUAUUGUAAUUGCAGGAUGUAGAAGUAAACCUGAUCAUAACUGAUUACUGUAUGCCAGAAAUGACAGGGUAUGAUCUGCUGAGAAAAAUCAAGGUAAAACAUGUUUUAAUUAUGUUAAUUAACUCAAAUGAGAUAUUUGUGUAGCUUUAAUGAUGGCAAAUCUGAAACCAAUCUUGUGAUGUGGAUGUUGCUGGAAUCUUGUAUGAAUAACAAAAAGUUAUUGAUUUGCAGGAAUCUAAAUCUCUUAAAGACAUACCAGUGGUGAUUAUGUCCUCAGAGAAUGUUCCAUCAAGGAUCAACAGAUGCCUAGAAGAUGGAGCUGAUGAAUUCUUUUUGAAACCAGUUCAACAGUCAGAUGUAAACAGGCUCAGACCUCAUCUGAUGAAAUCAAAAGUUAAGGAUGAAGAAGAGGAACAGAUGAAUAACAAAAGGAAGGAAACAGCAGAAGAAGAAGAAGAAGAAAAGCAUUCCCCAGAUAAAAGCAGGACAAAAAUGGAGCCUUAAAAACAUGAUGAAACAUCAUAGAUUGUACCUAAAACAUUUACCUCUCCUCUGCCUCACCAACUAACAAGUGAGAAGAGUAGAUCGCACCUCAAUCAUACUAAAGAAAUCACUAGUAUAGCACCUGACAACAAAUUUCAUUUUUCAUUCAAUUUUCUCUGAUACAUAACUUAUACUUUCUUCUCUCUUAUGUCUCCAAUUCACCACAACAUUUCUUCUUUCUGGUAUCUUAUGUUGGAAGGAUUUAAAUUUAGCUGAAUUCAUAAUAUAUAAAUAUAUAAAGUACAGUGUAAAUUUUAUUUUACAAAUCAAUUCUACGAAUU